CCUGGAUCCACCCUGGGAGAGUACCAAGGCUGAGCUGGCCUUAGUGAGAACUAGCAAGCCCAGUACUGGGCCAAAUUGUGGCCGGACAAGCAGGGGUCAGCCAGCAGAAGGAUACCACUGGGACCUUUCCUGAGCUCUACACCCUCAGCCUGGGUAUCCUGCACUUGCAGAAAGCCUCCCAGAUUUUGUGCGAAGAAUAAGGGGUAUCAGAGCCAGCCUGUCCAGGAGGAAGACUGCAGAAAGCUGUCCUUCUUCUGCAUUCUGUAUCUGUGACAUCCCCCUACCUUCACCUGGGCCUGAGGAGCACCCCAACUUCCAGGUGGGAUUUGGAGGAAGCAGUCACCUAUGGUUGGGAAAAUUCC
rnacentral:lncRNA from 1 species